UCAACAGCAUGCAUUCCCAUUUCAUCCUGGCUGACAAUGGAACAACUGGAAAAUACGGAGCCGAAGUGAAACUUCGGAGGCAACUGGAAAAGCAUAUUUCACUUCAGAAGAUAAACACAAGUAAGUUGGUCACUGUCCCACUGUCAUGCCUUGUAGAAAGUACACAAAAAGUAAAAAAAAAAAAAAAAAUCAUGCAGCAGUAAUACAUAUACUUGAGCAAAAACAUGGAUCAUGUUUUCUCCUUGGCCAGUGGUUCAAAUGAGAGACAGUGGUCCAGAGGAGGGCAAUGGAGGCAAAAGAACUGUGGUCCAGAGGAGGGCAAUGGAGGCAAAAGAACUGAUGAUGCAAUGACUGGCCCAAGCCCAUUUAUUAUGCAGAACAUUUCAACCCCAUGAGGGGUAUGUCAAUGCAGCUAUGCUUUCCCUCCAAACUUUUUUUUUUUUUUACAUCCUUUUCAUAGAACUCCAAGAAGAAACAGUUACCCUGGAGAUUUUUUUUUUUUACUCUAUUAAGCUUUUCUAGUGGCUAAAAACAAGAAAAAGGAAAGAAGACAGUAUUUUGAUCAUUGCACAGAUCUAGCUACGCAAAGGCAUUUCAAGGGCACUGAACAUCCCCUAAGCUAAAGCAUCAUGCAAAACCAUCUCGAUGAAAUUUUAACUCAUCUCAUAAUUCUAUGUUCAUAUUGUCUCUAGAUAUAUGUUUAGGUACAUGUGUUUAUUUAUGUGCAUCACAUAAUACAUAUCUACUGGUUACAUUAAUAACAUUUCUUAAAUGGCUGAUGGGCUCUAUGUUGUAUUUUUUGUGUAAACAUUUAAGUGUAAAAGAGUACCAACAACAAUGCUCCUCAGAUCACUAAGCAGCUUACGUUUAAAUGUGAUCAAUCUACUGUCCAUCCUCACAAAAUAAAAUUCAGUUUCUUUUCAAAGUACCACACCAGGCUUCAUGACAAGUUCAAACUUGAUGGUAUGAUGUGUCCCCCUCAAGGAAGCUUGGCUAUAAUUGAUUGAAAUCCCAAAGCCUGCAAUUCCAAAUACUAAAAGAUUCUCUUUGCAUGCAUUAGUUUUCAAAACUCCAGUGUAAUGUGGCUCAAUGUGCCCAAAUCAGUUUUCUUUUCUCUGAUAUUUUUCCUGCAUCUAUUUCAAAUGGGUCUCCCCCUUGGUACAGUGGCCUUCCUGCCACAGUUGGGAUGGUAGACCCACCAGACCACAACUUCUCCUUCCUAUACUCUCGUCUUUGGGUGUUUGGGGAAUUACUGCUGCUUAGUAGCCAAGUUUUAUACUUUCAUUCUUUUCACAGUGAAUUCUGAAGUACUGACUUUGGGCCUAGAUCUGAAGUAAAAGUUGUAUUAGAAAACUCCCUUCCUGAAAUGUCUUUGGAAAGAAGAAACACAGUAAUAGGUCAAGGUGAAUGUUUUAUGGAUAAAAAGAAUAGAAAAGACUAGAAAACUGAUUCAGAGGCCAGCAGAGAUCAAAUGCAAUGACACAAUCUUAUCAAUGGGUGGCAGGUUUUGCUAUCAAUACUAAAACUGAAUUUUGUUACAAUAUUUGAUAAAAUGGGCAAUUAGUUGCAAACGUUAUGCAAUUAGUGUUAUCUACUUAGGUUUUUACAGACUGAAUCUUUUCUUUUACCAUCAGUUAGGAAUGAGAACUAAAAGGCACAGAAGCAGGACCAAAAAAAAAAAGAAUAAAGGGUCUAGUUAGGAACUCAGUGAUGAGAAAAAUCUGUCUAUAGACAGGCAAACCACCUUUAUUAUGCUAGGGCUUGCAGGUGCCUGGGCCAGCUAGUCAGUAGUGUGGGAGCAGAGCUGGGUGUGUGGUUAUAUAACUUAAGCUUCCAUCAAAGAGAUGUAAGCUGGAGUUAAAACCCAGUCAGGGCUCUGUUUAUCGAGCCUUGUACCUUACAGAGUUCCCAGAGGAAAGGUGCCCUUUUCUAAUUGGUCAUCCCAGGAAGGAUACCUUUGUGAUGUACUUAAUGUACCUCAAGGUAUGCCUUUCUCCAAAGCUUGCAGAAGUGCUGAAUGUGUGAGUAGUCUGCAGAGGAGAUCCAGGGAGGCUCAUGGACAGUGACCUGGCCUUAGUGAAGAGCAGAGCUCAGCAGCCUGGAAUGUGAGGAGCAGGUCAGAGCAGAUGGUUGGGACAUCAAGAAUGUUGGAAGACAUGGCACCAGAUGCUAGUCUAUGGGUAGGCAGAUCAUCAUGGACACAUCACAUUCUAUUUGUGUAGACACUAGGCCCUUGCUAACCCAUGGAGACAGGUAGCAGCAUAUGGGCACAUGACAAGUGAGGACCAAUCCAGGGUCUAAGGUGUAAAGUAGGGGCAAAGCUCAAACCAGGGCACUUUGGUGACUGUUUUUGAGGCAUCAGUGAAACCCAUAGGCUACCAUUCAGUAUUGAAAUUAAAUAGAGGAAGGUUCCAGAAAUCAACAGAGAUUGAAGUCAUAGGAAGUUAAGCAGUACAGGGUAAGGAAUUUGCCUAUGAGCUGUAGUAAAUGAUGUGUGAUUCAGCUCCUACCCCAGUUCUAUCCCUGAACUUAAGGGUGGCAAGCAAACAACUCAUCCCAGUUUGCCUGGAAUUGUGGCAGGUUUAGCACAGAAAGUCCCAUGUCCCUGAGUACCCUUGGUCUUGGAAAAACUGAGAGAUGGAUUCAAAAGAUACUCAUUGUAUCUGUUUCCCUUAUUACUGUUCUUAGUCCGCAAGGCAGGGAGGGGCACCAAGCUCCUCACAGUGUAAAGGUGAUCCAGACUCACUGACAUAGAGGUCUCCAGCUAUCAGCAAAGAGCCCACAGAGAACACAGAAACCUACAGAACAGAACUGAGAUGAUGGGCAAAAAGUGAACCUGGUCAUAACACAAAGCAGCCUAAGAAUACAAACCCUUGAUGCAAUCCUCCUCAGCCAAUAUUUAGAACAGUACUUUUACUUUCUAAAUCUAGACUUUUUUUUCUUUAUAUCAUAAUUAGCAAUAAUGUGAUUCUUUCAAAAAUUAAAUUUUAUUCUGUGAGUUUAUUCUAAAAAUUCCAUUUACAUAGUGACACGUAGAGAAAUUAUUAAAUUUUAGAGAAACAGCAGUCCUAUGCAGAAUCUUGUUAAGAUAUAUUUCCUUCAAUUUUUUUUCCUUUUAAAAUAAAUUCUGAAAAAUAAACAAAAAAAUGAAUAUCCCAUUUACAUUUUCAUUUCUUGCUUUCAAAGUUUAGGAAAUCUAAAGUACAACUGUGAAACUCAAUUUCCUGCAAAUUAGAGACAUGAUUAUAUACUCUACCUCCUCACCCUUAGGACAGCCCCAGGACAUCUGCACACAUGUGACACUUUCUUCAAUUAAGUGCCAGACCUGAUCACUAGUGGUGAGCUGCAUGUGGCAGUAACCUACUCAUAAUCCUCUUUUCUUACAUAGAUGACAUAAUCCUCUGGAGGGUAUUUCCCUUAAAUAUAAAGUGAAUCCCUCUCAGGACACCCAUAAGCUCUUUCUCACCAACACUCCAAUUAUUUAUAAUAACAUAUUACAAGUGCCAAAUGUUUGCCAUUUUUCUCAGCACUCUGGCCUUCAUUACCUCAUUCUCUCCCCUUCUCCCCACCCAUUCCUACUGUUGACAGUCAAUAGUGAGCAUUGUAAGGGAUUACUGAUGGGCUUUGUUUAUAAAAGAGAAACCUUUUAGACAUGAACAGCUACCUGCUUUAGAACACUAUCUGCAAUUUUUAAUCUUCAAAUUUAAUAUGCAAGGAACAAAGCCAAUCUUCUCGUCCAUAAAUAAAUAUUUACUGAGCUCAUGUACCAGUAAUAGUUAAGAUCUGGAAAGCAACAGCAACAAUUGUUUAAUUCAUUGAUCUUAAGUCAAAGAUAAACAGAAAUAAAUAAGAAAAUAUGUGAUGUCUGAUAGUAAAAAGUGCUAUUAAGAAAAAAUCAAGAUCUUGAGAUAUAUGUCUGCAUGCAUGCUUAUGUGUUUCAGAGAAUCAUUUACAUCAGGUGAUAGGAAGGGCCUCUAUGAGGAGGUCACAUUGAAGCAGAGGCUGACAGACAUGUUGGUGGGGGGUGGCAGAGACUGGAAAGAGCAUUCCAUGGAGAAUUAAAGCAGGGACAGAAUUUCAAGAGUUCAAUGAAAAGCAGGAAAUGCUUGGUAAAAACUUGGAUUUUGUUAUAAUGAGUUUGGAUCUGGCAAUUUAUAGUAUCUCCCUUAAAAAAAGUCACUGAAAUUCUAAUCUAGAGGUUAAAAUGUGGUCAGGGAUAAGAUUAAAAGCAAGGAGAUGCUCUUAGCAGGCUACUGAAGUGUUGCAGGGGAAAGAGGACAGUGGUUUGAAUAAGGAUGGCAGCAGAAGAGGUAAUAAAACAUGGUAGAAUUCAAGAUAGAAAAUAUAUAUAGGCUACUCCAGAAAGCAGCAUCCAAGUACCUGAUGAAGCUUUAAGACCCCAUCAUACAUUUUGUAAACAUUAUUAAAUUCCAAACAUGCCAAAACUAGAGCACAUUAUCAUGGCCAGGGUAUUACUAUGACUAUUAGUAAUACAUAUUACAUAGCAGGCACAGUACUGCUAGUUGACAUAUAACCUAAAACUAUCACCUAGCCUCUGUAUUCAUCAACCUAUGCCCAGGUUUCUUUCUUGGAUAUGUAAACCCACCACUUCCCUCCUCUAUGGAAAUUAAUGAAACCCAGACAGCAUAUCAUUUCAUCCAUACACAUUUCAGUACCAAAGUAUUUUUUUUCAACUUGUGUUGGCCACACAUAGGCUCAAUUUUACAAGUAUCUCCUUAACUCAGUAGCAAUGUAACAGCAAAUGUUGAUCCAAGCAUUCUUUAAUAGAUCUUUUUAAAAAUAAGACACAUUUCAGGAGCAUCAAAACACAGGAGGGGGAUUUAAUUCUGGUUUUCUAUGACACAGUAGGGUAACUAUUUGUUCAAACAAUCGGAUGUAUUUUAAGAUGACUAGAAGAAUCUAAGCUUCCCAACACACACACACACACACACACACACACACACACACAAACGGUUAGUGUUUGAAGAAGUGAGAUGACUCCUCUGAAUUGAUUACUACACACUGUAUACAUGCAUUGAAUUAACAAUAAUGUGCUCAAAAAAAUGUAUGAAUAUUGACUCAAAAAUAUGUUAAAGUUUAUCUUUAAAGUUUGGUGAUCAUCUUUUCUAGUAGACAAUUCUACUCUCAGCUGACCGGAAACCAUCUAAAACAAAUGCUAACAUUACAAUUCUUAAAAUGAAGGUUAGAAAAAGCCCCAGCAAUUUCGAUUUGCCCUCUAAGAGUUUGAAAGGAAGAAUAUAUCUUUAGGGAAUAAAAGGGGAGGAUGUCUAUUCCAAGUCCUAUAAACUGACAGAGGCAAGUAGACCCAGGAAUUUAGAUCAUCAUGUCUCUGUGACCUCAGGCAAGUUAUUGUAUUUCUCUUAGGUUUUUGUUUCUGCAUCUGUGAACAGGAUUGGUAAUUCCUCUCAGUCUUGUGAGAAAGUCAACCUAGGAAAGGAUUCUGCCAUAUGGAAGUUCAGGACAUUGGUUCUCUUUGUGCCUUCUCAGGGGUAUGUGUACCCCAGAGGUCACCAUCAGCCUGUCACAGGUUCCUCCCUAAGACUCACUUGAAGUCUAGGGCAUUCGUUAGAAUAUCUUCACUAGAUUACUUUAGACCCUCAUUCUGGUAUUGAAGAAGUCACAACCCCUGUAGUUAUGGAGAAGUCCCCAAGGGGAAACAGAGGCUUUAAAUUAUACCCUGGCCCAUGUCAUCAAGUCUCUAUUGACAUUGCUUAUCAAAGAGUAAUUGAACAAUUUUGUGGUCACUGCAGUGAUAAUCAGAAAACUGUCUUUUUCUAUAAUACUGUUGAAAAUAUAUUCUAAGCUGUAGUUGUCACUCCAGCUGGAGUAAACAGUAUAAUGAGAAAUAUAAGCUUUCCUUGCAGAUUCAGAUUCUUAGUGUUUAAGAGUAACAGGAUACAUCGGUGGGAUUGUUAGUAUUCUACUUGUUGCAGGUGCCAGAAUUGGGGCUGAAUGUGCAUUAGCCCAGAGUUGAUCUUAAAAAUUAAGUUUCAGUCUACUACUAGAUUUUCUUAUAAUUUACCACUUUAUUCCAAAAGGAUACUAGAAAUAUUUUGGACUGUUUGAGAUAUGGUUUGUAUUUGCCUGUCAUUUAGACUUGGCCAGAUGGAAAUUUUAUUUGGAUUGCAUAUCUAAUUAUAUUGUAAAUAUCAACUGCACAUGUAGAAAAAUCCUUUAAGAAGCUAGAGUCUUCUGACUGUCUCCCUGCUUGAAAAGGAACUCUAUGUCAAACUAAAUCCAGUCUAAGGUUAUUUCUUCAUGCAGACCUUACAGAUACAUAUAUUUUGUGUGUGUGUGAUGUUAGUUGAUGGGGGUGUCUGGAUAGGCUUGGAUUUCCAGAGCCAGUGCUUUUGCCACCUUCAAAGUUCACUUGGAAGAGACUUUGAUGCUGUUCUUUCUUUGCCCCAGAGUAACAUCUGACAUUUAAGUGUGGUCUCACCUAAUGAGGCUGUCUAGAGUACUCUCCUCUAAAGAAGAUUAAAAUGAGCUUGGCAUUUAUUUCCAAGUAAAUAAGGAGCAGAAAUGAUUGCAGAAUUCAUAAAAUACAAUCAAACUUGGUAUUUGAGCACAUUGGAAUUUAGAAGUCUAUGGAAAAACAUUUUAUCAUGAAGUUCCCAAGCCAGCACCUAAUCAUACGAUUAUGUGCUUAUUCACACAAACUAACAAAAAUGAUAAGAGUGGUUUCCAGUAGGAUAGAAUAAGUUAUGGGGAUUUUGUUGCUAGGGGUCGGUGGGUGGGACAGGGAAAUGGGGAAUAAGUAUUUCCCCUUUGCUUGGAGAUGUAUGAUAUGUGAAUACUGGGAACAUGUGGUACACAAGGUAACUCAGUAAAGUCCGGUUGGUUACUGGAGGUUGGUAAAUCCACUUGGCUAAACUAAACUGGACUUCAAAUUGGUAUGUGUUUGAGAUCUCUCUCUCUCUCUCUCUCUCUUUCUCUCUCUCACACACACACACACACUCUCACACACACACACACACACACACACACUCCUCAAUGUAAAGCAUUUUGUUGCAAGGUUUUGUUGCACUUAGUCACAAGUAAGUACUUAUAUAUAUGUAUCAUUUACACUCUGGUUCCUUCACCACAUUUCUUGGUGAUAAUUCUAAAACAUGACUGUAGUAUCGUUCUUAACUAGGGAGACUUGGUUUCCUAUAGGAUGCCUUUAAAAAUAUGAGAGAAGAUUUAGGGUCAUGAUUUCUGGUGUUUAUUCAUGGCAUAGGAGAGGGAGCAGGAAUGUCUGCCUUCUACUAUAUGCAAAACAUUUUCACCUGAAGAACUGCCUCAUCCAAACACCAACAGCAUCCCUUAGGAAAUACUACUUGGAGUAUAUCCACAGCUCAAGAUUUAUGUAAAAGAAACAUCACUUCUUUCACAGUGGCAAUACGAUACAAAAUAUUUGACAACCUCCAAAAACUCUGAUACCCUAAAUUUAAAGCACAAGCUGGAUGUCAGAUCUGAUACUUCUUUAAAUCCUAAUAUCAUUUGCUAUCAGAAAGUUCUUCCAGAAUUCAUUGGUGCUGAAUCUUGAACCAGUUUCUCCUGGGUGAAAACCACAGUCGUCCGCCUUAGAGCUCCCAGCAUACUUGAAAACUGUGAAAGAACUUGAAUUGAUUCUCUGCCAUAAUGGCUGUCAGGAAGUCCUUUUUCAUUUGAAGAGACACACUGACCUGCUUACCAGGUAGAAUUAACUUAUGAAGUAAAUCAGAUCAGAAUUUCGAAUUCAGUAGCAGCUGUUUUUAGCACCACUGCUUUGUAUAUUUUGGGCUCAGUGAAUCCAGGAAUAUGCUCAAGGCUGGGAGUUUUCCUGUCAGAUUGAUGGGCUCUCAGAAAUAUCCUGCAGUGCACAGUUAUUAGCUAAUGUGGGAGAAGAUACAAGGGCCCAGAGAUACAGCUGCUUUACCCAUGGGCCAGGGAGGGAGAUGGAGAAUCUAAUCAGUGACAGUGUUGUCCAGGGACUAUUUUAAUAAAUCAAGAUUCUAACAGAAUGGAGUUUGAAAUUGAAUAACAAGAAAAUGCUAAUUUUUGAUCUACAAAUUACUGAGAUUUAUUUUGGACAUAAGAGACAGGGUAGAAAUAUAAAUCUUGAGUGAAUGAAUAAAUUCAUGAAGUAAAACACCAUGAGGCAUUGUUUUUCAAAAAUUUACAUUCCAUUUCUAGUACAUGUCAUUUAUUUCCCUGGACUGUAGUACACCCCUGGUAUGUAUUAGCAUUUUCCUAUUGUUAAAUUAUGACACCCACUUACCCUAAAAAAUUGACAUAGAUUAAAGAGCACCAUUGACAUCUUUAACACAUGUAUCAUUGAUCUAACCCUAUUUUUAUUUUAGUUUGUAUGAUCAAUAAAACCCAAAUGGUAGAUUUAGAUGAUUUAUAGACAAUUGGGGUUUCCCUUUUACCUUGGAGAGUUUAAAAAAAAAAAAAAACUAGGAGAAUGAAUUGCCUUACGGAUUUAAUGAAACCAUAAGCAAGAACUUUGCAAAUAAAUUUUGCUUUUGCUCUCUGGAUACUCUAUUGUACAAUAAUUUCUUUGCUCUAUUUUGGUCUAGUUUUUUUUUCAUCACUAUCAUGUUGAGUAUUAUUGUCUUAAAUACUAGUAAGUGAAACGAUUCAGAUUUGAAAAUUUUUUUGGAUGUAAAAUUUUCAGAUUAGGGAUGUUUAACCUAAAUCAAAAUUGGGACUUGUUCAUUCACACAAGCCAAGUUCCUAUAAUAAUACUCAUAAAUCCCAUUGGAAAAUAAAUAAUUUUAAAAUACAUAUGACUAAGUCAAGAAAAUAUUAUAACCAUGACAAUGGGAUAAUUUCCAUUAUAUGCAAAGAGUAUCUGCAAAUCAAAAAGAAAAGUGUGAGAAGCCCUUUGGGAAAAUAGAUAAAAUAUACCAACAAGAUCUUCACAAGAAACAAAAUACAAAUGCUCAGCUUCAUUUGACAAUGAAAUUUUUAACCUAUCAAAUUGACAAAAACCAAAGGUUGAAAAUAUCUAGUGUCGGUAUAUAUGGAAAUAUGUGCCCAAUUUUGGUAAAUAUAGACAACGACAUGUGAAAGAUAGUUUUGCCACCUCUGUCAAAUUUUAAAUGUGUAUGCCGUUGAGUCCUGUAAUUUUACCUCUAGGAAUUUAUUCUGUGUAUAUAUGCAAUAUUAUAUUUUAGUAACAAAUGGAAAUAACCCAAUGAUUCAUCAAUAGCAAAUAGUUCAAGUUAUAUGUAGAUGUAUAGUGAAAUAUUCUAAAAGUAUUAUGAAUAAUGCAAAAGCUUUGAACUCAUAGAAAUUUAAGAGCAUAUGUUUUUCUUUUCUUAAAAGUCUACUGUACAGGGCUGGGUUGUGGCUCAGUGGUAGAGUGCUUGCCUAGCAUGUGUGAGGCCCUGGGUUUGAUCCUCAGCACCACGUACAAAUAAAUGAAAUAAAGGAAUUGUGUCCAUUUACAACUAAAAUUAUACAUAUAUAUAUAUAUAUAUAUAUAUAUACACACACAUAUAUAUAUGUAUAAAGUCUAUUGUAUAACAACUAUAUUAAACAAACGUAUAAUCACAUUUAUAUGCUUGAACAAGUCAUAUUUAUAGUGAGAUUUAGGUUGUGGAGGGGAAGGCAAGAAGUGAUACUCUUUAUAUCUUCAAAAACUUCUUGAUGUUGACUUUUACAUUGAAAAGGUAUUACUUUUGUAAAAGAACAAACCUUUGGAAGUAAGUAGUCAGGCUGUCUUGUGUGGGAGUUUGGGGUCUUCCUCUCACAAGUAUAUGUGUAUCUUUUUUUUAAAAAAAAAAAUAAUUUUAAUAUACAUAUUUAUACAAAAUGAUUCUAUAAGCCACAUAUGUAGUAAAGUAGUACUAUAGUGGGGCAAAUUAACAUCCCAUAAUGUUAUGCAGUUACCCAUUUUCCCUCUAUGACAAGAAUAGCCAUAAUCUACUCAUUUAGCAAAAAUCCUGAAUUCAGUACACCAUUAUUAGCUAUGGUCCUCAAAUUGUAUGUUGUACAUUAGAUCUUGCAACUUGUUCAUCUUCCGAAGACAUCCCAGUUUUCUUUCCCCACCCACUCCCAGGGGUGGCCCCUAUCAUUCUUGACCUGUAGGUAAGGAACCUGUCCAGCUGUGUUCAACAAAGUUUCACCAAACUUCUGGCAAUUCUUUACUCCUAAUAAAAAUUCAAGUCAGGAAAUCUAAGAGUAGAGAGGUUGGGUAAGGACAUAGAACAAUUUUCUCAAAUAAUUGUAAAGAAUAGGUGUACAAAUUAUUGAGACCAAGGUAACAGAUUUUGUGUUAGAUUUGAUAAUGGCCGAUACUGAGACCUUUUUGAAGCUGGUGAAUGACAAGACAGCCUAAAUUUAUUCACCAUCCUUAUCUACUACAAGUGGACCUAAAAUUCCCUGUUUAUGUCCCUACCAUGAGAACAAUCUAGUGCAGCUCAAACUGUUCAUUUUCCCUUGGUCAAGUUCCUAGGCACCCCCAAGACCAGCUCCUUCUCCCCAAUAUGGUGCAGCCCACUCAACAGCUAUUUCACAUUGAACAUUGUCCAUAUGCUCACUGUGAAAAAGUAGCUUCAGGACACUCUUUACUUCACUAUAUUUUUAAGGCCUUAUCUUUGCAGGCAAAAUACAUGUCAAUUUCUUAACUUUUUCAAAAUGUGGUCAAAACAAGAACUUGAAAUCUCAAAUACUGAUUGCUCUCUGUUAUAUUUCCCCUUGACAAUACUUUAGGGCUCUUUCUUUAGAAGUAUUUACUUGUGGGCCUAUAAUAUACAAGGGGUUACAAGAUAAAAAAGACAUAGCUGUGUACUUGAAGAACUUAGUUUUACAAAUAAGUUACUAACAACUGGCAAUUUAUGAGUGCUACCCUAAAUAAUUUACAAACAAUGCCUGAUUUAAUCCUAACACUGAACCUGAAGCAGGUACUACUAUUUUUCCCAUAUACCAAUUUAAGAGAGAGAGAGAGAGAGAGAGAGAGAGAGAGAGAGAGAGAGAGAGAGAGAGAGAGAGAGAGACCAAGUAAUAGGUCCAAGGUCAGAGUUUAGUAAGUGGCAAACCCAAGGAGUCUAUGUCUAAGCCAAUGCUAGGACUGCUCUGCUCUACAGCCUCUCUUAUGAAAAGAUAUGCAUUAUAGACCAGCAAGUGUUUAAAGUCUUUUAGUCAUAUAAAGUACAAUGGUAAUUCAAACACUUCUGGGUUGAAAAUUCAUGGGAGUGCCUUGUCAGAGGAAUUUCAAGUAAGAUUUGACAGGCAGAAUGGGGGCGAUGGAUUGCCAGCCACAUGGGUGGAAGCUUCCAACUACCAUAAAUUUAGUCUAAUGCAUAUAAUCUAAACUUAUUUUACUUUUGUUAAUUUUUUUAAUCUUCUGUCAGCAUAAACAAAAUUUCAGCUACAGGCAUGAAUAAAGAGGAAACAUGAACUAGAGUUCUCUUUCAGGAAAUAGAAUCAUCAAAAUCAUAAGGGAAAGAUAUACAUAUUUCAUUUUUUCCUUUUGCUUAUGCUGACAGAUUUCUUUAAGGGAGAUGUUAAAGCAGAAUACAGAAUCAAAACAACAGAAAGUGUGUAUUUAUAAUUUUAUUUUCAUCUAGUUUGUUGCUUUUAUUUUGUAAAUAGGAAAGUCACUUGGAAAAGGUCAAGUCUCCUGCCUCAACUCAUUCAAUGAAUUAACUUGAACCUGAACUGUAAACUCCUAGUCUGCUAGUGCCACCUUAGUUUUGGGUGGCACUUUCUUACUCUUUGGUAUAACUCCUUAAGAAUUCAGAUUCUCCAGCAACCAACGGAAGUAGGAUAUGUGGGGCAUCAACCUUAUUUCAAUGAAAAAUUCUUAGCACAUUUCCCAUUUUCUCUACUGUGUCUUGAAGGGCAAUUAAUGAAAUAUCAAGACAACCAUGGACAUAAUCAAUACAUACUUCUGAUCUAGACAUUUCCAUUUUUAACUUUGCCACUAAUAUUAUCCUAGAUGAUCUUCACUAAAAUGUCAUUUAAACUUCUGUUCAUUAGGAUUUGAUAACUGGGGGUAAAAUAAACUGAAAAUACCAGUGUGCUGUUCACUCUGCAGGAAGGAUGUUGCUAAACCAUUUUUUUGUUUGUUUGCUCAGUUCCAUUAACAAAUGCUUGUGCUAUAUUUCCAGGAAGGUUUGUGUGGUUGCUGUCUAUCUGAAGCUUUGCUUAUAGUAUUUAGCAAGUGGUCUAAUUGCCAUACACAGUUGUAGAGCAGCCUGGGGGAUGAGUUUGCAAGCUGAAUAUGUUCUUAGAAACAGGCUGAAUAUGUUCUUAGAAACAGGAACUUUCUGGACAAUGUACAAUAGUUACUCUUGGUUUGUUAUUUUAUGAAGUCUGGGGAAUCCAAAGGAACCAACCUUUACAUCCUGUACUUUGAGGGAUAUUACUUUGUGCUUUUCCCAAUAAGGACAUUAAUACUAGAGGUCAACUCUGCCAGGUUGUGGGCACUGAGGAAUGGCCAAGAAUUGGAUACCAUGCCUCUCACCAACCAGCUACCUACCACCCAACUCCUACCUCUCAACAACUGCUACUGGUUGAGGCUGCUCUUGAAGUCUACCAUGAUCCUAGUAAGCUAGGGUCAAGAGACCUAACUUGAGGAUCUUGAGUCCUCCCUAGAUGCUAUUUCUAGGAAGGGAACAAAAAGACAGCAUAAAAAGCAUUGCUUUUGCCCAUGGGAUUCUCCUCCAAGGCCUAGAUUUGAAAUGAGAUGCUAUCUAAGCCAUCUAAUCUGAAGCAUGCUUGUUUAGAAAGCUGGCAACUCCAGAAACAUGAUGUUGUCAUUGCCUUUCUCUCUCAGUGUGGUGUAGAGGAACCAACUUGGUAGGAAACCUAUGUACCUGAAAUGGCUGUGAUGACUUUAUAUAUAGCAAUGUAGAUAUGACUAUAUCUAUAUCUUGGCUAAUGAAAGAAGAGAGUGGCAUGUAGAGAACCAGUCAAGUAAAGACAUUAUUCAUGUUGAAUGACACAUUGACAUUUGUUUCAAUUCAUCUUUAAAAAGAAAAACAUUAGAUUAGCCUCUGAAAGGGUAGUUUUUUUAGGUCAUAUGUAGCUAAUAGCUUGAGAAUGGAACACUUAUUUCUCCAGAAAUCAGAAAAAUUAUUUUUAAAGGAGGUAAGGGAUGAAUCUAGAUCUUGUGUCUGGGAAGGCACAGAACUGGAAGAUGCAUAAUUAUCAUUAUAAUUAAUUAAACAGCAACCAACAUUUCUUAAGGAUUUACUAAGUGCCAGACAUUGCAUUUUAACCCCUCACUACCCUUAAGCUGAAACAGAAUUAUAAAGGAUAUUUCCUCCAGUAAAGGGAAGGUUAAUUUUAAAAAUCUGUUUAAUCAUGACUUUAAGAAAUGCUGUGUGAUUCUUUGCAUAGGUCUGAAUGCGCAUUGUGAGUUGCAGUCACACUUAUAAAAUGUAUACAAAUUGGGUAAGCCAUCUGCUUUAAAAAAAUGUGUAUCCAACCAGUGGGUUGUAGAAAUUUCAAAGAUUUUAUUUUUUGACAGGAUGCCUGCCGUUUUUCUCUCUUGACUCCCGCUUGUUUUAUUCAUUUUGGGGUAGUUGCCAAUUAGACCCCAUUGGUAAGUAUAAUUAAUAGACAACUUGAAUUUCCUCUUAAACCCCAGCCAAGAAAGUUAACCAUAGAAGCCUUCAUUUCCUUUAAAAAUUCCUAACAUUAUCACUUCCUAUGACUGCCAUUUAUCUCUAUCUCCUAAAGUCAUCCAACCAUAUCAGAGACUAGUGACUCCUCAUGAUUUGUCAUUCCAAAGCUGCCACAUAGGAGAGCUUGGCAGCACUGCUAGGAUAUUACCAGAGGAAGGAAGCAUUUACUUAUGAUCCAGGCUUUCUGCAAGGCACUUUUAUAUAUGCUGUCUCUUUUAAAACAUUCAAAAACCUUUCAAGUAGGAACUGUCUUCCUUUCUUAGAGUUGACAAGAUGGCAGCUCAAAGAGAUUAUGUCCUUGUCUUAAAUCCAUUUAGUGAGGCAAAUAGAUGUAAACCAACACUGGUGUGAAUCCAAAACCCUCGUUUCUUCCAUCCACAUAGGAAAACAUUAUCUCAUUCAAGAAGAUCCCCUUAAAUUUUGUUAGCUUAGAGUACCUAAUGGUCAUCAUUUCAUUCAGUAAUCAGUUGAGCAGCUCUGUGCCAGACAUGGGUCAAGCAUUGGUUUGGUCACAAGGAGCCAUCAAGCAGGACUUUGGGAAGAAGAUGGAGUAGAACAAUAGGAGGACAAAGUGGGUGAGGUGAUGGGUUGGGGUGCAGGCAGUUGGAGCUCCUGAUCGUGUCCUCAUGGCUACAGUCUUUCUUCAUGUGACUCGUGGACUUCCCUUUGUCAUCCUAUGCCUGAGAAUAUAUGAAGGAGGCUGGGAAGGCAAAGGGACGUUCAAUUGUCAUCACUGGCAUCUUUUUUGAUCAUUGCACCAUCAUCCAAUGCAUUGGGAUAACCAUGACAUGAUAUUUUCCAUCACUGAGCCCAUAACUGUCCCAUGAGAGGGAUAACAACUCUAUGUUAAAUUCAUGAUAGAAUUUUAUCCAGGGAUCUUGGGAAGUGGGAACAAGUGACAGACUAACUGCAAAACUUCAAACCAUGUGACCUGAACAGAAAAUUAAUAUUUCUCUGAGCAGGCUAUGUGUCUAUCGACAUCUUACUGUCUUCUGUGGAUGCUCUCAUCUGUUCAGCCCAAUCAUGCAGACUUUCUACUGCCUCGACCAAUCAAGACCAAAUAUCAAAUUGCAGAUACCAAUUCAUGAUCAUUUUGCACAAGACUGUGAAGACUUGCCAUUUUUCAGAUGCUCUCAACUGACAAUGUUGUUCAAUAUUUUCUCUGCCGUUUAGAAGGUUGACCCUCUAGACAAUAAUUUGAUGAAGAAAACAAUCUAAACCUUGCCUUGUCUUCAUUUAAUGGAAUGACUUGACUCAAGUCAGCUGUGUAUCUUGCAAUGCUCAUUAAUGAGAAGCCACUUUAUCAAGAUAAUGAAGUCAAAAUCACUCUGAGGAACAGAACAAUUUUUAAUAAAAACAGUUUCAUGGAGUCUGCCUAUCUUGUUCAUCUGACUCUCUUCCUAUGCAAUCUGGGCAUUCUCUCUUUUUCAGCAAAAAUUUUUCCACAUCGGAAUUAUUCAGGGACUGAGACAAUUCUUAUAAACAAAUAAGUCUGAACAGGGGAAAUUCUCUACCAUUCUCAUCCAAUGUUGUAGACACUUUUACCUGCAGGGAAGAACUUUGAGAUCUCUUUGCAGACAGAAUGAUUUAGGUUGCAAAUGUUUAAUUGGCAUUUUUAAUCUCAAGGUCAGAAAAAUUACUGUUGUUCAUCAGAUUUGGAGACCUUCCUGAAGGGAUCCAAUCUCAUCCUUGUUUCAUUGCUAACUGAAAAUCCUUCCAUAUUUUUCAUUUUUUUUCUAGCUUCUUAUUCACCAUAAUAUCAUGUGGACCUUCUGUCCCACCCAUUCCAAAAUACUUGCAAUUUUUCUUAAAUAACUCAACCCAUUAUAUGUCUUUCUAUUCCUUUUUGAUAUUUGCUAAAAUUUGAUCCUCUCCCAUUCCUACCUGUCUACACUCCUGAGUCUCAGAUAAAAAAUCUCUUCUUUGCCCAUCCCAAUCCCUCACUUCCUCUGAUUUUAACAGACCCACAUUCACCCCUUCUGCUGUGCUCCUAUGUCACUCUGUCAUGGCAUUGCUUCUUUCGGUAAGAAGAGUGUCUUCCCAUCUUCUUGCUCUGUCCCCCAUCACAUGUAGAUUGUGGAUUCCUAGAGAGCAGGGCAUGUCUCUUGUCUAUUUUUAUCAUCCCCAAAACUUAGUACAGUGUCUGGCACAUCCCGGCAGGUGCUCAAUAAAUGACUGCUGUAAAUAUUAACACCUGGUUUACCUAGCCCAAUUUUUAGUUCUGGUUUCUAAUUUGAUACCAAAAAAAUGUAAUAGAGGCGUUUAAUAUUAAAAUCUAGAAAAGAAGGACAAAAUGACAGCAACAUAAACCCACGGAGGAAAAAUAAAUAGGAAUAUGUACAGGCAAAGACCAUUGUGCCUACUUCUGUUUAUUAGGCAUGAAAGCAUUUAGUCUGGGAAAUUUUAACUGUGUUCCUAUGAAAUCAUGAUUGUUGAUAAAUCAUUUCCAUCUUAUGAGAGUCUAAGAAUAUUUUUUUUUGUAGUAUCCAAUGCCAUCAUGGCUUCAGGUAUUUCCACCUAAAUGGAAUAAGAUAACUAUUGACUUUUCCCCACUUAUUCAAAGUGAUCAUUGCCGGUGGCUGCUUUUCAAUCUAGAUUUUGAUCAAUCUAUUGGGUAGAAAUGCAUACUCACUUUAGAAAGUUAGAAAAACAUAAAAUAAAUGGGAAAACUUGUACUGAGUACUUUUCUGCCAUAAUGAACAAUUUUACAGUGAGAUAUAUUUAGAAAAUAUAUGGUAUCUCAUUCCCUGGGGAUCUAGAAGAAAAGUGGGCUGAGAUUUUUAAUUUGCUUAAGAAUGGCUAAGGCCAAGGAAUUUAUAUAGGACCUUCAAAGUCCCUUCCCAAGGAUUUUAUAAUAAUUUGUUGAUCCCUUCAAAGUGUCUGGAGCAUUUCAAGCCCUUGAAACUCAUGGAUGUAAAAGUGAAUGUAAUUCAAAUAGACUUGAGGAAUGAUGAGAAAUAAUGUUCCUGCUUGUCACUAAUCAAGCUGCCAUUAUUUUAUUCUUUUAACCUUGAACCUCAGCUCAAUAUCUUUGAGCCCUGAGGGGGAAAACUGACAAAAAGAAAAUAGGAAGUUUAUGCCCUAAUAAUGGCCAAAUUUUUAGUUUAGUUUAGAAACCAGAACAUUAUGAAUCUUAUGCCACCCAUAGCUACAACAAAUAAGGAGCCCUUCCCCUCACUGAACAAGCUGUCCCUGUUCUGCACUUGAGGCCAGAUUUCAAAAGCUAUGCCGAGUUCUGCAUGCCACAACCCAGCAGGCAAGGCAAACACUCAAGUCCUAAAGCACAGGCUGAGGAAUCAGGGACUCUAAUAAGCCUUGGCACCUCUGGAUCCGCAUGGGGUUCUGUGGGUAAUCUCUGCUGGAAGGAGGGAGAGGGAAAGAAAUGGGUGUGUGCCUCUGCCAACGCAGGGAGGCGAGGACUGGAGUCAGCUCCUCCGGUCAUCAACCAAAUUGGAGCUGAACCCACCCUCAUUAGCAGCAUUUCUCCUACCCAGAACAACACAGGGGGCACAUAUUGAUUCCACUGCACAUUAGGAUUUAUUAUGAUUCAUUAUGAAUCCUGGUGGAGACUGGGAAGCAAGCAGCAAAUUGAACAUGGCAAACCCACAUGAAGAGUUUAGGGAGGAGGAGAAAGUUCACCCUUGUGUUUCUAAUCUCAGGUUCUAUUUACUUGGCAUACAUGCAUGGAGCAAGAUUUGUUUUGUUCUAUUCAUGUAUUUGUUCUCAUUAAUCAAGAACUGAUGUAUCAAGUAUAAAUUAUUCCUCCUAAACUUAGGUAUGUAGGAAAUGUCACACAAUAAAAAUUUUCCUUAAUUCAAAUACAUCUAACUCCAGGACCCUUUCCAUCCAGGUUUCGGUAAAUUCAAUCUAAUCUUUAUUAGGAUUCUCCCCCUAUUCCCUCCAUGUUAAUCCAUUUUCCAUCACUACAACAAAUACCUGGGAUGAUCAAUUUAUAAGAAGAAAAAUUUUAUUUAGCUCAUAGCUUUAGAGGUUCUAUGAUUGGGGUCUAUGAUUGGGGUCCUGUGGUGAGGCAGUUUAUCAUAGUGUGACCAUGUGGCAGAGCAAAACUACUCAUCUCAUUACCAGGAAGUGAAAGAGAGGACGAGAAAGAGACUGGGAGUCUCACAAUCCCCUUCAAGGACUAAAGUGACCGAAAGACCUCACUAUCCCCAAACACACAGAUGUUUGGGGAUACUAAAGAUCCAAACUACGGCCCCCCCACCCCCAUACACCCACACCUUUUUGCUCUCACUCCUUCAUUCCUACAGAGAACUUAGGAAAUUGGGAAGGAUAUCUUCCCUCAGCCAAGGUUACACUGAUUGAUAGAGUCCAAGUCCUCUUGAUCUCUCCAACCUUUGUGCCUUUGGUGCUCUUACCAAGUAAAGCCAGUAGGACUUUUGUUGCUGCCACUGACCCCCAAGGCUCAGCAGCCUCAGUUCAGCAUCUCACCAUGUACUUUGCAGCAGUCACCCUCAAAUGGGAUCCUGGGGUCAUUUCCACCCUCAUGGAGCUUACACAUUGGAGAAAAGGACAUAGAAAAUAAGGAUGUCAGAUGAAAGCAAAAUAUAUAGUGUAUUGGAUAAUGACAAGUGCCGAGGAGAGAAAUGAAGCAGGGAAUGCAGAAAACGGGGUGCAAGGAAGGAGCUGCAAUUUUAAGCAGACUGGUAGGGAAGACAAGAAGGGCCAGGAGGGCCAAGAACUGAGUCUUGGGACAGUCUCAGUAUCACAGGUUGGAUAGAUGAGUAGGAAUCAGGAAAAAAAGAUGAAAGAGCAGCUAUUCAGGUAAGAGAAAAACUAAGAGGGCAAACUGUCUGUAUGUCCAGGAACAAGCAUAUUUGCAAGAGGAAAGAAUGGCCAACUGAAACCAUCAGGGAUGUUGUUAAGUCUCUUUUUGGAUUUCUCCCCUAUCUCACCUACUCCUACCUUUCUCCAUCAAAGAAACUGCCAGAUUUGGUGGUGAUACACACCUGUCAUCCCAGUGACUCAGACGGCUGAGGCAGGAGAUUAUAAGUUUGAGGCUAGUCACAGCAACUUGGCUAGACCCCACUCUUAUUAAAAAAUAAAAAGGGCUGGGGGUGUCACUCAGUGUUAGAGUACCCCUGAAUUCAAUCCCAGUACCAAAGACACUUGCUUUUCUCUUCUUCCCCUUCAGGACAUUAGUGAGCUUUGGGGUUGUGGUAGUGGUGGUGGUAAUAGUGUGUGUAUAUAACAAAAGCCACCCAAAGAGCUCAUCUUCAGGAAAGCUCUGCUUUGUAGUAGCUCUAGACAGCACCACAACCCUUGCCUAAGACAAGACACCCUCGGUGGCCUUUUUUGAAAUGAAGGGAGGGAAAACCAACGGCAAACAAGAUCCAUUUAGUAGCUCAAUAAAUUUUCCUAGAAAAUAAAAAUUAAGUAUAUUCUCUACUUCUAGGUAAAGCAUUAGGUAGAAAAUAUACUAAAUACAUUUGCAGGCAAUUUCCCCCAGUACUGUGAAGCCCCUACUGAAAUAGGGUGAAGUGUUAGCAUAUUUAAUUUAAAUAUUCCCAGAGAGCUGGGUUUAGGGGCUGAAUUGCAAGAAUGAUUAUCUUCCAAUAGGGGCAAUAUCUCAAUAACAUACAAGUAAGCUGUCUAUCAAUUCUUGGUUUACAGGAUCAAAUUUUCAACUUGGAGAGUAUCUAAUGGAUCACAAACACAUGCUUAACAAGCAAACAGAUGUGGCCUUCUAUGAAUCAUUUAUUUACCACAUUAGUUAAGCUCAGGCAUGGGGUGGACAUACGAUAGCCCAUAAGCCAAAUCCAGGGCACCAACUUUUUUUUUUUAAAUAUAAAGCUUUAUUUCAGUGUAGCCAUGUUAAUUCCUAAUGUAGGGUCUGUCUCUGGACGCUUUUGUGCUCUAACUACAGAACUGAAUGGUUGCAAGAGGCCAUCUGGCCUGCAAAGCUGAAAAUAUUUACUCAUCUGGCCCUUUACAAAAAAAGUUUGCUGAUGCCUCCCUUAGACUUUAAAUAGACUGCUGAAAACUGUUGUUCAUGAAUGUUUCAGUCCCACUCCAUGGACUUUAUUUGUUCUCAGGCCACAUCAAUUAAAAAAAAAAAAAAACAGGCAAAAACUCUCUCCCUACAGUUUUAUGUCAGGGCACUCAUUCUCAAAGUGUGGUCCAGUGAAAUCACCUGAAAAUUCCUUUGAAAUAUAAAUGUUCAGAUCUCCCUCUACACCUACCGAUCAGAAGCUGUGGGAAUGGAGCCCAGCAGUGUGCAAUUUAAUAGCUCUUUUAGGUGAUUCAUCGGCAAGCUAAAACCGAGAGCCAUUGUUCUAGAGCAAACAUUGAGAAGAAGAGCCCAUGAUUUGAAAUGGUGAUUUCUACACACCCCUUGCUACAAUAAUUUUCAAUGGGCAAACUCCUUUUUGCAUACUAGAAUUGGCAUUUUAAGAACAUCCUUUAUAGUGCUACUUUCUUAUUGGUAACCUUAGGAUAGCCCACUUUGUAGACAAUGGUAUUGGCAGUUAUUAUUGGAGUUAAAUGGUUAUUUGGUGCCAGCUGUGGGGAAGAGCCAAGUAGCUGUUUCAUAUAGACAUGACAGAGUGAGAUAAUGAGGUUAAGUACUCCAGUGAUUAAAGACCCAAAAUACCCAUUGCAUGCCUCUGGGUCAUAACUGUCUCCCAAUUCCUCAUCAUCAUGCACUGGAUGCAUUUAAGUGCUAUAAUGUAAUGAGGCAUUUAUUUCCAAGAAAAAAAGUAGCAGGGUUUAGUUCCAGCACCAUCAAGGAUAUGCUAGAACAUGAGAAAAAAGUUUCCCUAGGUAUUUGUCCUCAUAUAGGAUAUGCCAGGUGCUGCUGUAUUGUUGCUCUUUUCCUUUGCUUAAUGAUCUACUCCUUCCCUGGAGCUCCAUCCCUCCCUGUGUCUGGAGAAAGGAAUCGCUCUGAUAAUGAACAGCUGUGGUUUAGAUGCAGCUAGAAACCCCGAAGCGGGGAGUGUUGACCUUUUUAAGCCAGGAAGUGAUGCAACAACGGGGUACAGUGAACAAACACAGGCCUCUUUUUUAAAAUAUCUGAAUUUGCCAUCAAGUUUUAAAAGCUACCAGAAAUGAGUUUGAGACCCUAUGAUAUGAGUGAAAUAGAGUGACCAUACAUACUCUGUCUGGUUUGAAUUAAGUAGCUCAAUUCAUACCUGUCAUAUCAGAGUAAUUACCAAUGAUGACCUCUCCACAAAGGUGUCCUGGUGGUAUGAUAAGUGUGAUAUUGUCCCCUUAGUGCAUAAAACCAAAUGAAUAGAGCACAGACUCUAGAAUUCCUAGCAGAUCUCUGCUUGAAACUCAAUUCAGACAAUUACAGUUGUGUGAAUUUUGCAGUUUAUUCCUUACCCCUCAUUUUCCUUAACUGUAAAAUAGGAAUAAUAGUAUCUCUAUUAUAAGAUUGUUGAGCAGACUGAGAAAGCAUAGACUACCCGCCUGGCUGAAUGUCUGACACUUGGUAGGUGCUCAUUGACUGCCCCUUCCCUUAGGGAAAGAGAAACUGCCUUUAAUCAGUUGUCUCAAGGCAAGUCACUACACUUUUAAUUCUUCACUGCAACCCAGAAAUUCAUAAGCAACCUUGUUUUUAUUCCAUUUGUAAUUUGUUUUUUUUAACAUGUUGCCAGUUUCUUUAUAAAAACUAUAAUGACAUUUUAAUUUUUUCCUUUCAGAGAAAGUCAUAUUUUCACUUAAAAAAUAAGUCCAGAUUCCCAAAGUAAAACCAGAGCUCAAGUUUGUUAGAUGCUAUUGCAAAGUAAAUGGCAGAAACAGAAAGGGCAGAAUUGCACUCCAUAGUGUUGGAACUUGAGGAGGCCCAACACACUAUGCCCCAUUCUUGACAAGAAUCAAAUUGACUAAGAGCCACUGCAGUCAGGUGGAUGGAAAUUAAAGUAUCAUUUUUAUUAAUGAUGACAUUUUUAUGUGACUUAGUGUGAGGGGCAAAUGUAUUUGCCUACCCACCUCAGCUCCCAAAGACCUUCACGCAGAUCACUGGUCCCUGGAGGCAAAGGAAGAAAGCCAAAUCCCCUUCAAUGAAGAACUUAUAGUAGUUCUAGCAAUCCUUGGUUUAUACCCAAAGGACUUAAAAUCAGCAUACUAUAGAGAUGCAGCCACAUCAAUGUUUAUAGCAGCUCAAUUCACAAUAGCUAGACCGAGGAUGGAACCAACCUAGGUGUCCUUCAGUAGAUGAAUGGAUAAAGAAAAUGUGGUAUAUAUACACAAUGGUGUAUUACUGAGCUUUAAAGAAGCGUGAAAUUAUGGCAUUUGCCAGUAAAUUAUUAGAGUUGGAGAAUAUCAUACUAAGCGAAAUAAGCCAAUCCCACAAAACCAAAGGCCAAAUGUUUUCUCUAAUAUGCAGAUGCUAAUUUACAAUAAGGCGGGGGACACUAGGGAAGAAUAGUGUUACCUUAGAUUAGGUAGAGGAAAGUAAUGAGAGGGGAAGGGAGGGGAUGUGGGGAUAGGAAAGAUAGUAGAAUGAAACAGACAUCAUUACUGUAUGUAUAUAUGUGACUGAAUGACCAAUAUGAUUCUGCAACAUGUACACUCAGAAAAAUGAAAUUAUAUCCCAUUUAUGUAUGGUAUAUCAAAGUGCUUAAAUGCAUUCUACUGUCAUAUAUAACUAAUUAAAACAAAUAAAAAUAAGAAAUAGACAAUAGAUGUGGAGGAUGUAGCUCAGUGGUAGACAACUUCCCUAGCAUGCGCGUGCACAAGACACACAGAGAGAGAGAGAGAGAGAGAGAGAGAGAGAGAGAAUAGCCAUAUAAUCAGUUAUUGAAUGAAUUCCCCAUACAGAUGAGUACAACAGAAAAGGACAUGGGCUAGAUAUGUCACACUAAUGGAACCCCCCCCACACACACACAUAAAUAUGAAACAUUGUCAUCACCUUAUCACCCUUAUUUCUGAGGAUUUAAUCACAGUAAAGAUUUGAUCAGACCUGACAUUACAACUUAUAUUUUGGAAAAGAUGCCCAGAUAAUAAAAUACAAACAAUUCAUCACUUUUUUUAAAAACUUGGAUCAGAGAUUAAACCCACAAUAUGGCAUCCACAGCCAGCCAAAUAAUUGAUCUAAAAUAAUCAAUGCCCCUUUCCUUAGUCUCAUGUAUAAUAACAGCAGUUGUUAUUUUAAUAACCUCGGAAGUGAACGAAGGUCAUCCCCAGCCUAGUGCACUUUAGCUACUAAAACAGAUCAAUCGCCUCAGUGGGAUCAGAAUUUGGUUUUUAUUUCAGUCUCAUAGAUCCUAUUCAUUUCAACCAGAGGAAAUAAUAGCUUCAUGGGCAUCCUUCCAGCAAGGGGGAAGAAUGUAAACCUUUGUUUAUGUCUGUCUCCCCAGUGGCUGAGACACUUUGUUCUUCUAACCAGGUUCAUUUCUGAGAAAUUGCACAGCUUCAAUUUAAAAGAGUAGGACAGCUGAACUGAAAUUGGCUAUUCCAGUCCCUAAGAAUUGGGUUUUUUGGAUAUAAUCCAAAUGGACAAGUGAAAUAGAAACACCCCUUCCCCCACCAAGUCUUUCAACAUGUUCUUCUCUAGGUCCCAGACUACUGCUUAGGUCCAGUAGUUAAGGUAAGUAAAAGGAUGCCACAGAGCAACCUAAAUGGUUGUCACCUCCAUUUUCAACAGGACAUAUCAGCAAUUACUGAGGUAUGCCAGUCAGUCCUUUUGUAACUAUCAAUUUAUUCCUUUCACUUUGGCUAUACUGUUCCCAAAGUACGUACUCCUAAACAUUGUACACUUCUUAUUUUAUCUCCAAGCAUUUGUUUGAACUACCUUCUCAGGGUAAGGCACUAUGGGAACCAGCAUGUUACCCAAGAGACGUGGGGAAUGUCGGUCAGAAGGAGCUCAUAAGUUAGCAGGGAGGGGGAAAAAAAGGCAUUCGUUAAAAGCAAGGCACAAUAAAAUAACUGCCAAAAGACAGUUUUUUAAGUGAACAUUGGAUCACAAAGGAAUGAAAAUUUAAUAUUACCCGAGGGAGUUGGGAUGGAUCCUGGGAACUGGUAACAUUUGAACCAGACUUUGAAGAUUGAGUUGGAGUCUCUGAGGGGCUAAAAUGAAUUGCAUCCCUCUCCCUCAUCCAACUUCCAAACAAUUUGAGAAAUAAAAGUAGUACUGGUUUGAACCUAAAAUAUCAUUUUGAUUACUUACCAGGAAUAGUGGGCUGAUGUGGCUUUAGGUCUAUGUAUCAAAUGGGCUUAAUGACACCUCACAAUUAGGCAGAACCCCAAGUGCCCCUUCACAUCCUCACCUGGCUGCACAUCUUCAGGUCAGAGCCCCUGGAGGGCCGGGGAGAUCUCAGGCUCCCUGCAGGCAGCAUAUGCCAAGAGGAAAACGGACCCGACUGAGGUGACCAAACCCAGUGAUUCUUUUCAAAUAUACUAAAGGGCUGAAUGAGUGAAGGGGCAGAGAAAACCCAAGGAUGGGCUUAGAAAAAUACCCUCCUGAACACAGGUAAGGGGAAAGAUACUCCUUUCUGAAAAUGAGGAUGACUAAGAGGAAGUUUAAAAAUAAUCCCUCAUGGCAGAUCAUUAACAUAGUCUGUUAAGAGGAUGGUCAGGGUGAAAGAGCUCUGGAGGUACUUGAGGAUGCAAAGGAAGGCUGGGUUUAGUACAGGCGGAGCCUCGUAACAACACUGAAAGAUGUGGGCUUUUCUCUAUAAGCAAUGGGAGUCCACUAGAUUUUUACAGAAAGAUAGUAUUCAUGAGUGAUAACUAGCAGAUCUGUGAACAUUGUAUGGAAGCAAUUUCAGUAGUUCACUGAAAAACCAAGUAACAUAGAUACUAGGUACUUAGCAUUCUUGAUUUUAUGAAAUUUUAAAUCAUAUCUGAGUAUUGUGGAUCCUCAGGUCAGUUGACUGACAGAAAAUCAUUCAUGACAUAAAACAUUGAAAAUGUUCUAUAGAAAUAAUUACAUCAUCAUUAGAGAUCUGCAUAUAGUGGAGUGAUAAUUCGGUAGCCUACUUUCCUGCCUGCCUUUUGUAUCCCAAAUUUUAGUGAGCAACUACUACAGGUAGAACAUCAUAUGACAUGCUGGAAUCACAAAGAUAAAUCUGCAUAAUAGAGAAGAGAUGCCUAGAUAUCUAACUAAUGAGAUACAACUUCAAAAGAGAUCUGUAAAGUUCUAUGAGAAUUUUUCUUUAUACAAUCAUAGUUGACUGACAAAUUUAUAAAGCAUAGUCAUUGGCAAGGGCUUUUAAAAAAUUAAUGCUGUAAGAUCACACAAAUGAGAAUGGUUAAUUCUGCCUAAUGGAGGUGAAAGGGAGGAGACUGCAGAAGACUUGUCUUUGAGAACAGAAUAAGUUUCUUACAGAAAGGAGGUCAAAAAAGCAUUUGUUAAAGGGAAAAGAACUAUUUGCAUUUGGGGCUGGGAGAAGUAAUUGCAGUUCCCUGAACACAAAGAAAAAAAUAUUUUUAUAAUUUGGGAAGGAUGAAUUGAUACAUGUUGCCAACAGCAACAUCUCUCUCACCCCUAUCACUUCCCUCCCUAUCAGCUCAUCCCUGAAUCCUGGGUCUUCCCAUGUUUUUGCUAUCCAUAACCCCCCCCCCCGGCUGCUCUGUAACUUUCUAAUUUUGCCAAGAACCUUGCAUGGGAUGUGGACAUAGAGCCUGGCAUUUAUAAGGGAGUGUGGGCAAGAUAUUAUAAAGUAAAAUGAGUUCAAAUCACUCCGGUUUACCUUACAUUUGAGAAGGCAAGGUCAGCCUUUUGAUGUGUGUUUUGAAAAGAGUAAAGACUAAGACCACAGCUUUGUUUGGGAGAGGUUUUUUCUUUUUUAGACUUAGAUCAAUUACAUUAAAACAUUCAGCUUUCAAACAAUGACCCCAAAGAAAAUAAUGCUGGCUUUUAUCUUUUAUGAAAGUAAUAUUUGCCUUACUACUCUUGGGAUUGAACAUUCCCUUUCUAUUGAAAUGAUUCACAGGGAUGCUGCUUAGAUGGCCUGAUAGUACACUGACAUUAAUAGCAGAAUAUUUCAAUCAGAGCUGUCUGACCAUAAGGGAAUAACUGUUCCCAUUGAUUAAGGCAAAAACCAAGUUAGUUUGUAAGCAAUUGAAGUUGGUUUAUGGGUUUUGUUAUUUGGCAUUUACAUCUCUUUCCAACCCACAGAACUCAAAAGACUUAACAAGCUGAUUGAAGCAGUAAGGAGAAGGCAUUUGGGGAGUGAUGCAAAAGGUCACUUACCCGAAAGCAGAAAUUUUUAGCCUUUUGGAUCCAAGAUAAAGGCAAGUGGCUUUCUCAGAAUAUUACAGGUCUGAAUGAGAAAGUGGUCAAACUUUAGGAAAGCAUGUUUCAAAACAUUUGUCAGGACAUCCUUUUCAUUUAAUCACAUAAAUCGCAUUCAGUUUUCUUCCUUCUUUAUGGAUCAUUUAAAGAGAAACAUAAGUUUAAUAAAUGUAAAUAAACAUCUUUUUACCUGUGUUUAACCAUAAAGUCCUUUUUAAGUGCCAAGUUCUAAGUGCUAUAUAGUAACAACUCACAUAUGACCCAAUGACCCAUGAAUUAUAUAGCUAGUCUGUGUGUUAGAUACUACAUAGAAUAUGAAAAUACAUUUUUGUAUAUGAAUCUGUAUCAAGCUACUUUUCUGCCCUUCUAGGACAUGCCUGGUUCCAGCUCCUAAGUUAUUAGUUUGGUGAAGUCUAGCCAUGAUCUCGGAUUUCUAGUAGCAGGGUGUAAAAUAGAAUACAGUCACAAUAGGUGGAACUGGGAGUCAACAGAAAGCCCAAGAUAGAUAGAGAUAUAGGCCCUUAUGGAACAAAGAACAAGGAGAUGAUCCUGUCCAGAGCUAGAAAGGACCUCAGGAAAAGCUUCAUCUGAGGGGCAAGAUGGGUCAAGCUUCUAAAGUAUAGAGAUGGUAAUGAUGGAAGUCCUUCUAGAAAAGUCCACUGAGAUCAAAGCAAGGCCCAAGCACAGGGCCCACAUUGCCAGGAAGGGAACAGGCAAAUGUUCCAAUCCAGGUGGGAUGUAAGAAGUGGUUCUGUUCUCCAGGAAUCUGGGCUAUUCAGAGGAAGGAUUGCCCUCUGCCCUUGGGCAUAGACUUCUGGGGAGAUGAGAUCUAAUCACCCUCCUUUCUUUUGCCAAGGGGAAGUUUCUGAUAUGCCACACAGGCAGCUCUUCUUUAAGUGAGAGAAGCAGAGCAGCUUAUCAUGGCAGGUAAACAGGCUUCCAAUGAAGUCAUCAACCUUGCUCCAGACGAAGCCCCACCUGAUACUGAUAGAUACUAGGCACACGCCAGCACUGACCUGAAUAUUACCUUCUACAGGCACACGCACAAGCAUGCAUACACAAACACACACACACACACACACACACACACACAGGGACGGAGGGGUGGGGGUGGUUAUGUUAUCCCAAAUUCCUCCUAUGCAAAAACCCCUCAAGUAUAAGUACUCUCUCCUUGCAGGUUUCAUACCUAGAAAAGUGUCCCUGGGGAUCUUCAGAAAAGCAAAUCAAAAAGACAAGGCCUAAAUGGAACCAGCUGAUGGUGGCUAGCACAGAUCCCUAUGAAAGUAUCUAGGGCACUGGUAAUAAAGACUGUUUUCUUGAACCAAGAAGAGGUGAAGCUGGGGGUGGAGAAUGUUUGGUAGCAAAUAAACACAAAUUCACUCAAAAGUAUAUAAAGGGAUAUAUGUCUAUAGGAAGAGUUGGCCAUCCAUGGUCCUCUUCCAUUGUCUGCAUCUCUCUCCCCACCCUUCUUCUCUGGAUCUAUGUAUCUCCUUCAUGCCUCUCUUCUCUCACACAUACCCUGCUUUCCUCACUCACUUGGAUCAUGUGAUCUCUCCCUUCUAUGAUUCCCUUUGCUCCUGUUUUCUUCCUUCAUGUGGGGCUUUCUGUGCCUUGAUUCACCCUCACCUGGUGUCUUCAGAGCCAUUACUAAUGGAGGCUUCACUCCCCAAAAUGGAGGACCCUUGCAGCCCAUCUCCCACCUGUUCACUUUGGGCUCGGAUCUUCACACCACUUGUGGGAAGGCAAAUGCAUAUCUGAUGACUAUCUCUAAUCCAAUCAGGUUUGGAAAAAGACAAGUAAGGCUGCCCUUCAGGGCUAGGUGCAGGUCAGUUCUCAGAGAGGAGUGUGGGUAAAGGGGCAGGAUGAGUAUUUCCAGCACAUCCUCCACAAAGACAUCUUCAAGGGCUUUCAAGAUUUCUCAGUCAGCCCACUCAUCCAAUUCCCUGGUUCUGUCCUUUGGCCUCUGGUUGCUGGACAGAAAAGCAAAACAAAAAGACAAGGCCUAAAUGGAAACCAGCUGAUAGUGGCUAGCACAGGAUUCCUAUGAAAAUAUCUAGGGCACUGGUAAUAUACAAAUUGCAUUGUACAUUCUGUACAGUUCUUGGGUUGGAAAAUUAAGUUCCAGAUUCUAAGUGUUGUGUAAUACUGUUCAGCAGUAUUGAAGACAGAGAAUUUUCCAUAUUAAUUCAAUAGAUUUCACAUUUAAGCCUGAAGGAUGAGGAAUGCCAUGAACCAUUAGUUUUCUUUUUUUUUCCCCAGUCUGAGGGAGGUAUUUCAAUUAAUCCAAACCCUGUAUCUUCAGUAUUUUGAUAACCUCGUAUCUCUUGCCACAUUUUCUGAGAAGUCAUAUACCAAAAUAAAAUAUACAGGCAUGUUUGUUGUGGUAGAUUGAUAUUAGCUUCAAAUAUGGGAGGACUGCAUAUUCAGGAACUCUUUUAAGUUAAAUACCAAUAAGAGUUGCCAUAGACAGGUAAUGACAGGAAAAGAUACAGAAAAAAAUUCACAUUAUUUUACCUCUGCUUAGUCCUAAAGUGAAGCAUCUUGUUACAUGUGGUUUUAUUUUGACUGGUUAAUUGUUCAUGAAGUUCUUUAUAUUUCUAAAUGCCUUCUUCAGCAUUAAUUUAGGCACAGAAUGAUAACUUUAUUAUGUACAUAUAUGAAUACACCACCAAUGAAUCUCCAUAUCAUGUACAACCACAAGACUGGGGUCCUAAUUAGAAUAAUUUAUAUUCCAUGUAUGUAUAAUAUGUCAAAAUACACUCUAUUGUCAUAUAUAUCUAAAAAGAACAAAUAAAAGAAUAAGAUAUAUUCUAUGCUUGUAUAAUUAUAUCAAAAUGGACUCUACUGUCAUGUAUAACUAAAAAGAACUAAUGAAAAAUUGUUAUAGCAGCACAAAGGAUUGGUGCAUUGGGUCUGGCAGUCAACAAUUGGGCACAUCACCAAAAUUCACUAAAAAAUAUUUUGCUUUAUUACCCAUUUCUAAGUAAGGUCAGACACAUUUCAUUAUUCUUUCUUGAAUAAAUAAUGUAUCCUACCUCCAAAAAAUAAAGGCACUAUACAAAAUAUCUGCUUCUGUAGAAGACCUAGAAAAUAUUCUGCUUAAAAUAAGAUGUAUUUUUUUCUUAUGUGACUCAUUUAUUUUCUAGGGCUUACUUGCUAAGUAGUUCAGAGAUUUCUAAUGUUUCCUUCUACAAACAUAGCACAAUAAAAUAUUCUCUCUGUAUAAUAUUUCCACAAUUGUACCUGAAUAUUCAUGUAUUUACAAACUGGAGUCUUCCUAAUUAUAAGAAACGCUUUAAAGAGAAAGAAAAAAAAUUUUAUGUUGUCAUUCUUAAAUACAACUAAUUACCAGCUUCAUAUCAUUUUCUCUUCCCAUUCAUCUGUACAGUAAUUGCUGACGUCCACUAAGUCUGCCCAAAAAUUAGUAUCUUAGGGGUUUACUUAGUUGUUUUGGCCCCAUUAUAUAAACUAAAUAUAGAAGUUGGUGACCAUGUUUCUGUUGGUAGACUCAACCAUUGAAUCAAAGACAGUGCUUUUUGAGGAAGAGGUUAGAUGAAGAGCACUUGUUCAAUGAUUUUUAAUGUUAUGAAAAUUAUAAUCACGUAAGCAAAGCUGUAUAAAGUAAAACAUUGACAAAGUUUCACAAUACCUAUUGUUUUGAAACAUGAAUUUUUCACACAAACUUUUGAAAAACUAAGAAUCACAUAAUCCCAGAGAUGGCAGCACCAAUAAUUAACUGAGUUCCUAUUAUUGCUACAAGACUUUAGCUGGUAAAUAGAAAUAGCUUUCUACCAUCGACACAGUCCUGAAUUAGGCAAGGUCUUCAGGAGGUCAUCUCACACAAAGUGGGAACCACCCUUUCUGAAUGGCCUGUACUAUAAUAAUCAUGAUCUGUGACCUGUGGGCAUUAAGACUUAAAAAUAAUUUCCUAUGCUGCAUCUCCUGUAAAAUAGGAACCAUUUUCCAACCACAGAUAAAUGAUCCCUAUAAGCACUUUAGAUCAUAUAUGGUGAUCUUCACAUAAAACCAAAGCACUGGUUUGAAUAAAAUUCUCAGCUAUUGAGGCAUUUUACUGCAACAUACCCAAUGUUUUCACAAAUGCCUGAACUGAUCAUAGAUAUGAUUUCAUGUCAGAAGAGAUAGAAAUGCUUUAAAAAACAAAGCUGUUUGGAAUGGUAAGACAUUCUUCUGCUCCUGCCACCUAUCUCCCUCACAAUGCCCAACCCAGUCUUUGUUUAAUCCAACACAGAAACUUUUCACUUUAUUGGGAGUGCUGGAUGAAUUGCAUAGCAGUCAGAAUGAAGUGUGACCAAAGUCUAAGAGGUUAUCUUACACAAAGAACUAGGGCUCCAUGUGUAAUUAGAAAGCCUUUGGUCAACCCGGAAUCCUGUAGAAUGCAGCUGCUGAAUCCAUUAUCCAAACUCAUGUUUUUGUGUGCUAUGAUGUUUCCAGUUCCAAAAUUGAAAAAGCUGAAGAGCAUGGCAAGCCUCUUGCCUCUUUUUGCUUAAAGCAACUUAAAGAUUGUUCUAAAAUUAAAUUCUAAUAGAAUUUCUAAGAACUUCUGCAAGACUUUGGUUAUAGAAGAAGAUGAAAAAUGACUGCAAUCAAGUAAGGAACUAAUCUACUUUUCCCCCAAAUCAACUCCCCCCAAAAAAUAAACAAGAAUUUACACACACACACACACACACACACACUCCCUUAGGGAUCAACUUUUUUCCUGAAUAAUACAUAUUUCUUAAAAUGUCAAUCUAAAUCACAUUUUUUCAGGUGUGGGAGUUGAAUUCGUCUGUAAGUUUAGCUGAGCAAGACAGAAUUUGUGAGGAUCUUGUCAAAAGGAAAUUAUAUUAAUUUUUUUAACAGCAUAAAGAAAAUGUCAGUGAGCUAUAUUAGUCCUGCUACAUAUGCAGGGGAUUCUCAAAAUGUUUUCUUUGUGCUAAUAAAAAUAUAUUGUUCUUGGUAUUUUACAAAGCUCUUUGCUUACUAAAAAUUCACAUCCCACAGAUUCUAACUUAUAAAUUUGUGAAUUUUUCCUAGAGAUUUUUAGAAUAUCCUAUGUCCAAAAUAUAAUUUAGCAAAGACAGUUUGAACAGAAAAAUCAAAGAAAAACAAGGAAAAGAGGGAGGGAGGAGAUACAUCCUGAUUGGCUAAACCUUCCAGGUAAAGCACUAUCAAUAUAACUGGUAGCAGUGACCUGACAUAGUUCCCCUGGACAUAGAAUUUUCUUUGAAAACCCAUCCUAGAACUUGACUCCAUGAGCUAUACAAAAAACAAAUUGAUAGUUUUUACAGAUGCAUCAAAAUAUUAUAAUUUAGGGUGGGGAUUUUGAGGUCCAUUUAUCAAGAUAUUCAUAUAGGCUUCAAGGAUCCGUGAACCCCCUGAAAUUGCAUGGAGGCAUUUUUGUAUCCAUCCAUAUGUUCCCUUUUCUAAAGAAAGUGUUGCUAGCUCUCCUAGAUUCACAGAAGAGUGCCAAGAUCCUUGCCUCCACAAAUUAGGUUAAGAACCAUUGCUUUAGGUCAUUGCUAAACACUAGGUAUCACUUUCUUUUCCCUGGAAACAAAGGCUGAGUAAGAGAGAUGUGACAGAAAAGUGUUACCAUGCAUUAGCAAGUUUAAUUUAUAACAAACGUGCUAUUUUUAGACCUAAUCUGAUUCUCUACCUCUCCUAACUAAGAAAUUUAAAAAUGCUUUUAUUUUAGGCUAUCAUAGCUUUUAUUGUCUAUCGAAUAAAUUUUUCAAUGUUUUAUCACUGAAGGAAAUAGGAAAGAAUUUGGAGUUAUAGACAUAUAAUUUAUGAGAAAAGGGAUACUAUGCUCCAAUUUUUACUAUUUAAUUUUGAGCUUUGUAUUAAUAUACUUGCUUUAAUUGUUCUAUUUUAUAAUCAGUCUCAUUCCAAUACAGAAAAUCCUAACCUGAAAAUGCUUCUAUGUUUCUAGAGGUUAUAACAUUUUCCAACAUUGACAAAUAUAUUGGCAGGAGAUAAAUUGGCAGUUUGUUACUAUCAUACAAAUUAGCCUUAAAAAAAAAAAAAAAGUCGAUCUUUUACAUGGAUGAACCCUCUCAAAGAGAGGACUUUUCCAGCCAUCUUGCUUGCUGUCCUGUAGACCCUAACUGGAACAUUUUAGAAAGUUCAUUCUAGGACUUCUUUCUCCUUGAGAAUACAGAGUGGAUAAUACUUGGUCUGAGAGUUAAAGUCCCACUAAAUUCAUGCUCAAGAGUCAGAAUUGGGCAAAUUUUUGGAGGAGAUCCUAAAAUGAAUGUAGAUAUAUCAGUUUUAUAUCAAACAGGAAAAUGGCAUAUUGUUCCUUGAUAAAAGGCAUAGGAGCCUGUGAAAGAGCAAAGCAAAGGGAGAAAUAAAGUAGUAUAUAUAGUAUUUUGAGAAAUACCUCAUAUCAGAAUUUCACAUUGGAAAAGAUGCAUUGUUUUCCAAAGUAUAUGAAAAGAAAUACAAAUCCCUAUAUGGGUGGAUAUUUUUUAGGACACCAAGUUCUCUCCUAGAAGAGGUGUGCUCUACUAACAUUUCAACUUAGCUUUUCAUCUUCAGAGCAACUUCCAUUUACUUAGUGGUCAUGGUCAGCAGCAAUGCAAAAGUAUCCCCUUCAUACAUACCCAGAUCUUGAGAGAAACCUAGUGUCCAAGACAUUAAGGGAUCCUGGGUCAAGACAGAGCAGCAAGACCUUUCACUCCCUGACUUGGAUUGGAAGGAAUAAUUCUCAAAACCUCACCAUCCAAGAAGACUAACAGGACCCUAGGUCACUUCUCUCCCCAGGUUCCUUCUGGAGAACAAAAAGAAAUCUUGGCUUAAUCAACAGUCAUCCUUUUAUUUAUAUUUUUAAAAUGUAGAUUUGAACAGCACCCAUUUUGGUGUAUCUGGCAUUUGGAAAAUUCCCUUAAAAUGAAACUCAAAUAAAAAAAAAAUAUUUUCUAACUUAGAGUAGAUAAAGCCCUGCAAGACUGAAGUACUCAGAUGUUAAAAGUAAAACAGGUCACAUAAGUCAAAUAAGAUCUCUAGAGCAAGAAACAGAAUCCCAAACUAUUAUUUGCCAUUGGGAAGCAGUUUUUUUGAUAUAAGAUAAAACCACAGCAAAAGGGACUAAGGGAGAACCAGGUGACCAAAGGUUUGAUGUUUUUUUAAGUUCACAUUUACAGAAGUGGCAAGAUUUCAAUUUUAUCUUUUUAAGAGAACUUUUAAGAUGACCUUCUAAUUUUUCUGUUACUUCUCAACUUCCUAAUUAUUCUGAGGACAUAGGGAGAGAAAACACAGUAUAAAUCCAAACUGAACAAAAGGGAAUUAUCAGUGAACGCUGAUGAUACUUGAAAUGUCACUUGAAAAUGAAUUUAAUGUCUCAUUGUGCCUCAUUUUUAAAAUUUGUUCUUUUUAGAUAUACAUGGCAGUAGAGUGUAUUUUGACAUAUCAUACAUGUAUGUCAGACAUUCAUUUUUUUAUUUUUUUAGACCUUGUUGGGCCUUUAUUUUAUUCAUAUACUUAUAUGUGGUGCUGAGAACCGAACCCAGUACCUUACACAUGCUAGGCAAGUGCUCAACCACUGAGCCACAACCUAGUCCCAUCAGACAUUCAUUUUUAAUACUUCCAUUUAAUACGUUAGCUUGAACUACACAUGCAGCACUGAUACAAGAAUAUUUUUACCUAAAAAUAGCAAUGUGCCAUGGCUUGGAAUAAAUAGCUUAGAGAUUUUCAGAAAGAUCUGUGAAACCCCUUAAUUCAACUCAAUUCACCAAAUGUGUACUGAUCACGUGCCUGGCGCCUUGCUCAGUAGAGAAGAAUUUGACUGUGGCAGGUGCUGUGUCUCCUGGGGAAUCAGUUAGGACCACCGUGCUGCUGAGCACCAGUAAUCAAGCUGAUCGCCUGUGGUCAGGAUGCUAGACCUGCAAUUUAGCCAGCAGUUGAUUCAACAACCACUCUGCAGAUAUUCAAAGUCUUUAAUAAAGAGAACUAUUUAACAUUUUCUUAUCGCUCUCAUAACUUCAGGAGGGUGGCAAUUUUUAACUUGCCAUUUUUUUAUAUGGGAAAUGGAACUACUGGAUAGAUAAGAGACUUGCUUAGGAUUACAUUUAGCUUCGAAUCUUUUGGCUGCUGGCCCAGUGCUUUUUCUGUUAACCGGUUCCUUUCUCUCCCCUCACCGUAGGCUCCCCUAUGCAAAGUAGGGUAAUUGGUGCCUUAGCUGACUUGUGCAUCCGGACAGCUGUGGGGAGAGGGCAAAGUCAGAUGGAUGCCCUGGGGGUGGGAUUCUGCUAAUGAGUUUUCUGUAAAUUUUCAUUCAAUAUUUUAUCCCUUCAUAUGUUGUCACCUCCCCUGUGCUCAGUAAUUUUAGUUUUUGCUUUUUGUUUCUCUUUUUGUUUCUUUGGUUUGCUGGCUUUGUGUUCUUUUCUCUUUUUUCCCUUUUCUUUUCCUUUUUUAAUGCAGGAAUCGGACAAGGGGUUCCGGUGGUGGCACUCAUCGUGGAAGGAGGGCCCAAUGUGAUCUCCAUCGUUUUGGAGUACCUCCGAG
rnacentral:lncRNA from 1 species